CAUGAUCGCCGCCAUUAUUGGCUGCUACUGAAGCCCUUAUGCGCUUCUUUUCCGUUCUCAAAGUGCAUUUUCGCACGCCGUUGAGAUCCGCCAUCUUCGUUUUCUGGUCUCUUUCUCCCUCGUUCCUAUUUGAAUUCCGAUCUCCAAUCCGCGGCGGCAGGCAAUAUAUCCGGAGUUAAGGGAUUGGUACUUUUACAAUUUCGGCGAAACCACUCCCUCACUUUGAGUCAGUUAUUCAAGUACGAUUAUUCUGACACCUACGAAGAGCAUAGCAUCUCGUCGCCCAUAGACACCAAGAUGAGGAACUGACUUUUGUUGGAAGAUACGUCCACAAUGGGGGAAGUGGUUCCAAUCUAUUUCAGCAUUGUUGCUUUUAUUUGCACGGUUGGAGCCAUUGCUCUUGCUAUUAUGCAUAUCUACAGGCACCUUUUGAACUAUACCGAACCCACUUAUCAGCGAUUCAUCGUCCGCAUCAUCUUCAUGGUUCUGGUUUAUGCGCUAACGUCUUUCCUGUCCCUGGUUUUGCCCAAGGGCUCAAUCUAUUUUAGUUCCAUCCGAGAAGUGUAAGUUUUUGUCUGUGAGUAUAAUUUGGUCUUCAGUUUUACUGAAUAAAAAAUAUCUAUAUUUUUAAUG